rnacentral:SRP_RNA from 1 species
CGGCGGAUCUUAGGCGGGGAGCUAGGGGUCCCCUGAGAGGCUGUUCGAGCCUCGACCGUAAACCCCCUAUAUGACGGGCCGAGAGCUGAGGUGAGGCGCCAAAGGGCAUCGGGCCUCUUCAACCACCAAACUGUGAAUACCCGUCCCUUGGGGCCGGCGGUCGUGGGGCGUCCUCCGUAGGGAGGGCUGCCACCACGUCUACCAGACGAACCUGGCCAGGCCCGGGAGGGAGCAACCUAAGUCUGGACGUUUGGCGCUCAAGGGGAUGCGGGUACGAGUGAGGGGUUGCUGAGGUUCGGUGAAAACUGGGCGUCGAGCCUCAGUGAUCCGCCG